rnacentral:misc_RNA from 1 species
UGAAAUUAUCAUUAUUGCCUUGAAAAUUUUUGAGCCAAACUAAAUGAAUAUCGAAUUUACAAGUAUUUUGGAUUAGAUUUGUUAAUGUGAUUCAUAUCGUGUUGCCUCUUGGAAAACGAGGGGUUUGUCCCUUAUUGGAAGGCACUAGGUAUGUCCAAAUUUCAUAUUGGCUACUACUAUCCAUCUUUAUUGAUGCUCAAUUGGGAGAUCAUCAUAUCAGUAUGUCAUAUUAAUCGAAUGUACUCCCUCCAUAUCUUUGGAAGAGAGCUUGGCAAACCUUGUGGUGAGAAAAUUCAGGCUGAUCUAGACCUCUUUGCGAGGAAGUAAAAUGAAUCUUGAUUUGUUUUGCUUGCACACCUACACUCAUAAGCACUCAUUCUGGUGCUGCUACUUUGGUUUUAGACCCUGG